GUGGUGGCUCAGUGAUAGAGCACUUGCCUGGCAUGUUUGAGGCCCUGGGUUUGAUCCUCAGCACCACA
rnacentral:tRNA from 1 species